rnacentral:rRNA from 1 species
AGUGGCGGACGGGUGAGUAACGCGUGGGUAACCGUGCCCUGUACAGGGGGAGUAACAGUUGGAAACGGCUGCUAAUACCGCAUAAGCGCACGAGAGGACAUCCUUUUGUGUGAAAAACUCCGGUGGUACAGGAUGGGCCCGCGUCUGAUUAGCUGGUUGGUGGGGUAACGGCCCACCAAGGCGACGAUCAGUAGCCGGUCUGAGAGGAUGAACGGCCACAUUGGGACUGAGACACGGCCCAG